rnacentral:rRNA from 1 species
UAAACUUCUUUUAUAUGGGAAUAAAGUUUUCCACGUGUGGAAUUUUGUAUGUACCAUAUGAAUAAGGAUCGGCUAACUCCGUGCCAGCAGCCGCGGUAAUACGGAGGAUCCGAGCGUUAUCCGGAUUUAUUGGGUUUAAAGGGAGCGUAGGUGGACAGUUAAGUCAGUUGUGAAAGUUUGCGGCUCAACCGUAAAAUUGCAGUUGAUACUGGCUGUCUUGAGUACAGUAG